UGGGGAAUAUUGCACAAUGGGCGCAAGCCUGAUGCAGCCAUGCCGCGUGUAUGAAGAAGGCCUUCGGGUUGUAAAGUACUUUCAGCGGGGAGGAAGGGAGUAAAGUUAAUACCUUUGCUCAUUGACGUUACCGACAGAAGAAGCACCGGCUAACUCCGUGCCAGCAGCCGCGGUAAUACGGAGGGUGCAAGCGUUAAUCGGAAUUACUGGGCGUAAAGCGCACGCAGGCGGUUGAUUGAGUCAGAUGUGAAAUCCCCGGGCUUAACCCGGGAGUUGCAUCUGAUACUGGUCAGCUAGAGUCUUGUAGAGGGGGGUAGAAUUCCAUGUGUAGCGGUGAAAUGCGUAGAGAUGUGGAGGAAUACCGGUGGCGAAGGCGGCCCCCUGGACAAAGACUGACGCUCAGGUGCGAAAGCGUGGGGAGCAAACAGG
rnacentral:rRNA from 1 species